AGACGGCCGAAGGAACCGGAGCUCUGAGGGACGACAGGAGGGACCCGAAGGAAGAGAGGGUCCGCCGGCGACUGGAGAGAGCAGAGCUGGAAAAAGAGAGACUCAGGGAGAUAGAGGAGAGUAAGAAGGAGAAAGAGCAGCAGUGGCAGACUCAUGUAGCAGAGCUGACUUCCAGCCAGGAGAAGACUCUGACCGACCGACUGGCACGACUCAGAAGAUUCAGGGAGUUUCAGAGGAAGGUGCUGGUAGAGGAGUCGGGGACGGAGGUCGGGCCAACCACAGUCAACCAACUUCUCACCAGGAUGUAGAUUCCCCAUAAGAGGGAGUCACUCAGGAUACAUGUGUCCUGUGUUGCUCUUUAACAUGAAUAAAUCAUCAGUGUGACUGAAUGACAUGAUAAUAGAAGACAGCAUUUUAGAAUAGAUAUCAGCAAGCACUGACAGAUGCUGCACUGUCUCUAUACACUCGUAUCCCUGCUGCCACACCUCCACCACAUCACCUUUGCUCAUGACUGGGAUUUCCAAAAACCUUCAAGAGCAGCAAAAAAAGGUU